AUGAAGCUGCAGAAGAAUUUUGAAGAGAUUGAAUCUGGGGACGCUUCUGGCUCAGAUAGUAUUAAUGACGUGGUGGCUUUGGGAAAUGACAAGCUCCUCAGUCUGGUGCUGGAAGAAUUAGAAGGGUUUCAAAUGUGGGAAAAUGAUGGAGAAGCAGCUUUGAAAUGGUUAUUCAUCUCCAUCAAAUACACCCACUGGACAACUGGGACAGAUGUGAGCUGCAAAGGAAGGUACCUCCCAUGGUCAGCCCUGCAGCCCUGCAAAAGUUAGAAAUGAAUGGGGAGAAGAAAUGGCAAAGCUGGCAACAUCUUUAUGAUCUCUAAAGAGGAUCCACAGCCCGGGUGCGGAAUCCUGUCCUACUACAGGUUUUAGAAACGCUUCUAUCCCACCUCUGUGUCUUUGGGCACAGUCCAGCAACAUUCAGUGGUGUCUGGGAGAGAGGUGGUGAGUUUGCAAUUAUUUCAGAAGAGCAUUAUUUCAUCUUUCUGGUCUGGUCCCUUAGGUAUCCUGGAUCAUGACAAAAUGAUAUUGCCCAACACCCCUUUCCAGGGAAGGGAGGGAAAGCUGAGGAGUGCUGUUGGGUAAGGGUGUCACACUGCUGUAUUUCAUCUGAGAUUCCUGUCACGCAAGUCCUAUAAAUGUCAUUGUGAAGUUUUGUGACUAAAUUCUCCUGCGAAGUCUUGAAAACUGACUCAUUUUAUGUCACCUUAAUGAAGCCUGUUGUGGUUUAACGGGAUGUUUGUAGAUGAUGGGAAGAAAGACUGCUUCAUUAAGUCACACAACCUUUAUGAAGUGUCAUAUCACAAACGGAGCAGUCACUAGCAUGCUAACAAAAAAAAAGCCUAAUGAGUGAACUAAAGUAUUUCAGGUGUGUCCUGAACUUGGGUAACUAUUGAUUACAUCUAUUCAGUUUUAUAGUAGCUACAAGUGCUCUCUGUCCCUCUUUCCUGUACCUGUGGUUCAAUUGCCAUUUUUUCAUUUCUUCAUAGAAGAAACUAUACCUGAACGAUGACAUUAAUACCUAAAUACCUAACUUGCUGGCAGCAUGGGCUGUGUUAUGUGGUGGUCUGCCUGUUCCUGCUUUACCCAGAGAGCACCAACAGCAAGCUGGACGUAUCCUCAGAUGGCUGCAGAAGUCAGGCUGCGAGAGCUGCCCUGUGGCAGGUGAACUGUGCUGUGAGUGAGCUUCUUGAGGGCUGUCCUUACCUGGGUGUAAAUACGUGCUGUGUGACGUUGCAGUCCUAAUUUCCUUCACUUCCUCCAUUCCUGC
rnacentral:lncRNA from 1 species